GCAGUCGAGCGGACAGAAGGGAGCUUGCUCCCGGAUGUUAGCGGCGGACGGGUGAGUAACACGUGGGUAACCUGCCUGUAAGACUGGGAUAACUCCGGGAAACCGGAGCUAAUACCGGAUAGUUCCUUGAACCGCAUGGUUCAAGGAUGAAAGACGGUUUCGGCUGUCACUUACAGAUGGACCCGCGGCGCAUUAGCUAGUUGGUGGGGUAAUGGCUCACCAAGGCGACGAUGCGUAGCCGACCUGAGAGGGUGAUCGGCCACACUGGGACUGAGACACGGCCCAGACUCCUACGGGAGGCAGCAGUAGGGAAUCUUCCGCAAUGGACGAAAGUCUGACGGAGCAACGCCGCGUGAGUGAUGAAGGUUUUCGGAUCGUAAAGCUCUGUUGUUAGGGAAGAACAAGUGCGAGAGUAACUGCUCGCACCUUGACGGUACCUAACCAGAAAGCCACGGCUAACUACGUGCCAGCAGCCGCGGUAAUACGUAGGUGGCAAGCGUUGUCCGGAAUUAUUGGGCGUAAAGGGCUCGCAGGCGGUUUCUUAAGUCUGAUGUGAAAGCCCCCGGCUCAACCGGGGAGGGUCAUUGGAAACUGGGAAACUUGAGUGCAGAAGAGGAGAGUGGAAUUCCACGUGUAGCGGUGAAAUGCGUAGAGAUGUGGAGGAACACCAGUGGCGAAGGCGACUCUCUGGUCUGUAACUGACGCUGAGGAGCGAAAGCGUGGGGAGCGAACAGGAUUAGAUACCCUGGUAGUCCACGCCGUAAACGAUGAGUGCUAAGUGUUAGGGGGUUUCCGCCCCUUAGUGCUGCAGCUAACGCAUUAAGCACUCCGCCUGGGGAGUACGGUCGCAAGACUGAAACUCAAAGGAAUUGACGGGGGCCCGCACAAGCGGUGGAGCAUGUGGUUUAAUUCGAAGCAACGCGAAGAACCUUACCAGGUCUUGACAUCCUCUGACAACCCUAGAGAUAGGGCUUUCCCUUCGGGGACAGAGUGACAGGUGGUGCAUGGUUGUCGUCAUCUCGUGUCGUGAGAUGUUGGGUUAAGUCCCGCCACGACCGCACCCUGGAUCUAUUGCACCAUU
rnacentral:rRNA from 1 species